AGAGUUUGAUCCUGGCUCAGGAUGAACGCUAGCUACAGGCUUAACACAUGCAAGUCGAGGGGAAACGAUAUUGGAAGUCUUGCUUCCGAUAGGCGUCGACCGGCGCACGGGUGAGUAACGCGUAUCCAACCUGCCCACCACGUUGGGAUAACCUUGCAAAGUAAGACUAAUACCCAAUGAUAUCUCUAGAAGACAUCUGAAAGAGAUUAAAGAUUUAUCGGUGAUGGAUGGGGAUGCGUCUGAUUAGCUUGUUGGCGGGGUAACGGCCCACCAAGGCGACGAUCAGUAGGGGUUCUGAGAGGAAGGUCCCCCACAUUGGAACUGAGACACGGUCCAAACUCCUACGGGAGGCAGCA
rnacentral:rRNA from 1 species